rnacentral:rRNA from 1 species
ACAUAUCAAUAAGCGGAGGAAAAGAGACUAACAAGGAUUCCCCUAGUAACUGCGAGUGAAGAGGGAAAAGCUCAAAUUUAAAAUCUGGCAGUCUCUGGCUGUCCGAGUUGUAAUUUAGAGAAGUGUUACCCGUGCUGGACCGUGUAUAAGUCUCCUGGAAUGGAGCGUCAUAGAGGGUGAGAAUCCCGUCUUUGACAUGGACUCCCAGUGCUUUGUGGUGCGCUCUCAAAGAGUCGAGUUGUUUGGGAAUGCAGCUCUAAAUGGGUGGUAAAUUCCAUCUAAAGCUAAAUAUUGGCGAGAGACCGAUAGCGAACAAGUACCGUGAGGGAAAGAUGAAAAGAACUUUGGAAAGAGAGUUAAACAGUACGUGAAAUUGCUGAAAGGGAAACGCUUGAAGUCAGUCGCGUUGGCUGGGGAUCAACCUUGCUUUAGUGGGGUGUACUUCCUAGUUGACGGGUCAGCAUCAGUUUUGACCACUGGAAAAAGGCUUGGGGAAUGUGGCAGCUCCGGCUGUGUUAUAGCCCCUGGUCGUAUACAGUGGUUGGGACUGAGGAACUCAGCACGCCGCAAGGCCGGGAUUCGUCCACGUUCGUGCUUAGGAUGCUGGCAUAAUGGCUUUAAGCGACCCGUCUUGAAACACGGACCAAGGAGUCUAACAUGCUU